UCAUAGAUAUCUUAAGUAUAAAGUGGAGGAUUCUUAAUUCUUUGAUGUUUAAUUUAUAUAAACUCUGUGAG
rnacentral:tRNA from 1 species